GACGAACGCUGGCGGCGUGCCUAAUACAUGCAAGUCGACCUUAGUGGCGAACGGGUGAGUAACACGUGGGUCACCUGCCCAUCAGAAGGGGAUAACCCUUGGAAACAGGUGCUAAUACCGUAUACUGAUGGAUCGACCCGCGGGGCAGUAGCUAGUUGGUGAGGUAACGGCUCACCAAGGCCACGAUGCAUAGCCGACCUUAGAGGGGGAUCGUCAACAUUGGGACUGAGACACGGCCCAAACGCCUACGGGAGGCAGCAGUAGGGAAUCUUCGGCAAUGGACGAAAGUCUGACGGAGCAACGCCGCGUGAGUGAAGAAGGUUUUCGGAGCGUAAAACUCUGUUGUUAGAGAAGCGGUAUCUAAACAGAAAGCAACGGCUAACUACGUGCCAGCAGCCGCGGUAAUAC
rnacentral:rRNA from 1 species